UACGAAGGGGGCGAGCGUUGUUCGGAUUUACUGGGCGUAAAGGGCGCGCAGGCGGCGAUCUUUGUCAGGCGUGAAAGGCCCGGGCUUAACCUGGGAACUGCGCUUGGGACGGGAUUGCUGGAGACCGGGAGAGGAGAGUGGAAUUCCCAGUGUAGAGGUGAAAUUCGUAGAUAUUCGGAGGAACACCAGUGGCGAAGGCGGCUCACUGGUCCAUUACUGACGCUGAGGCGCGAAAGCGUGGGGAGCAAACAGG
rnacentral:rRNA from 1 species